UCCCUGGUGGUCCAGUGGCUAAGACUCUGUGCUCUCAAUGCAGAGGCCCCGGGUUCGAUUCCUGGUUGAGGUA
rnacentral:tRNA from 1 species